GGGGCCGUCGCCCAGCGGCAGGGCGCCUCGUUCGCAACGAGGAGGUCGCGGGUUCGAAUCCCGUCGGCUCCACCA
rnacentral:tRNA from 2 species